UACGGAGGACCCAAGCGUUAUUCGGAAUUACUGGGCGUAAAGAGUUGCGUAGGUGGUUUAGUAAGUAUGUAGUUAAAUCUUGUGGCUCAACCAUAAGCUCAUUACAUAAACUGCUAGACUUGAGAGUGAGAGAGGUUACUGGAAUUCCCGGUGUAGGAGUGAAAUCCGUAGAUAUCGGGAGGAACACCAAUGGCGUAGGCAGGUAACUGGCUCAUUUCUGACACUAAGGCACGAAAGCGUGGGGAGCAAACGGG
rnacentral:rRNA from 1 species